rnacentral:sRNA from 1 species
GGGACCACUCGGCGGUUUGGCGGGAGGGAGGGGCUUUGCGCAGGCCCCGCUCCCGCCCCGCCUCCAUGAGGCCCGCCCCGAUUGCGCUGUGGCUGCGCCUGGUCUUGGUCUUGGCCCUGGCCCUUGUCCGCCCCCGGGCUGUGGGGUGGGCCCCGGUCCGAGCCCCCAUCUAUGUCAGCAGCUGGGCCGUCCAGGUGUCCCAGGGUAACCGGGAGGUCGAGCGCCUGGCACGCAAAUUCGGCUUCGUCAACCUGGGGCCGGUGGGUGGGACCGGGAUGGACGGGAAGUGGGAGCUUGGAGGGGACUGGACGACCCUAGACCCCGACAAGGGGGAGGGAGCCCACAAGGUCUUCUAAAUAUCAAGAGUCCCAGCCCACCCCUGCCUCAGCCAAGCUCAGCUUCUGGGACUCCCAGAGAGCACCUGCUGGGGAAGGACAAAGAAGGGGGCUGUUACCGGCCCUCGGGGGCUCCAGCAGGGGAGCCGGGUCCCAUCGGUGCGGCCGCUUCCCCACAUCCCCAGAUCUUCCCUGACGGGCAGUACUUUCACCUGCGGCACCGGGGCGUGGUCCAGCAGUCCCUGACCCCGCACUGGGGCCACCGCCUGCACCUGAAGAAAAACCCCAAGGUGCAGUGGUUCCAGCAGCAGACGCUGCAGCGGCGGGUGAAACGCUCUGUGGUGGUGCCCACGGACCCCUGGUUCUCCAAGCAGUGGUACAUGAACAGCGAGGCCCAACCAGACCUGAGCAUCCUGCAGGCCUGGAGUCAGGGGCUGUCAGGCCAGGGCAUCGUGGUCUCUGUGCUGGACGAUGGCAUCGAGAAGGACCACCCGGACCUCUGGGCCAACUACGACCCCCUGGCCAGCUAUGACUUCAAUGACUACGACCCGGACCCCCAGCCCCGCUACACCCCCAGCAAAGAGAACCGGCGUGCGGAUGCUGGACGGUACCAUCACCGAUGUCAUCGAGGCCCAGUCGCUGAGCCUGCAGCCGCAGCACAUCCACAUUUACAGCGCCAGCUGGGGUCCCGAGGACGACGGCCGCACGGUGGACGGCCCCGGCAUCCUCACCCGCGAGGCCUUCCGGCGUGGUGUGACCAAGGUGAGUGGCAGCCCGAGGAGGGCAGGGGUGGCAGGCCAGGCCGACGCCCCCUCCCCGCCCCUCCUGGUUUCCCAGGGCCGCGGCGGGCUGGGCACGCUCUUCAUCUGGGCCUCGGGCAACGGCGGCCUGCACUACGACAACUGCAACUGCGACGGCUACACCAACAGCAUCCACACGCUCUCCGUGGGCAGCACCACCCAGCAGGGCCGCGUGCCCUGGUACAGCGAAGCCUGCGCCUCCACCCUCACCACCACCUACAGCAGCGGCGUGGCCACCGACCCCCAGAUCGUCACCACGGACCUGCAUCACGGGUGCACAGACCAGCACACGGGCACCUCGGCCUCAGCCCCACUGGCGGCCGGCAUGAUCGCCCUAGCGCUGGAGGCCAACCCGUUCCUGACGUGGAGAGACAUGCAGCACCUGGUGGUCCGCGCGUCCAAGCCGGCGCACCUGCAGGCCGAGGACUGGAGGACCAACGGCGUGGGGCGCCAAGGUGCGGCGGGGCCGGGCGGGGGCGGGGACCCGGGGCCCACGGGGCGAGUGACUGCUGCCCUUCCGCGCAGUGAGCCAUCACUACGGCUACGGGCUGCUGGACGCCGGGCUGCUGGUGGACACCGCCCGCACCUGGCUGCCCACCCAACCGCAGAGGAAGUGUGCCGUCCGGGUCCAGAACCACCCCACCCCUAUCCUGCCGCUGAUCUACAUCAGGGAAAACGUAUCGGCCUGCGCCGGCCUCCACAACUCCAUCCGCUCGCUGGAGCACGUGCAGGCGCAGCUGACACUGUCCUACAGCCGGCGCGGAGACCUGGAGAUCUCGCUCACCAGCCCCAUGGGCACGCGCUCCACACUCGUGGCCAUACGGGACGUUGUACCGCUACACGCUGCUGCUCUAUGGGACGGCCGAGGACAUGACAGCGCGGCCUACAGGCCCCCAGGUGACCAGCAGCGCGUGUGUGCAGCGGGACACAGAGGGGCUGUGCCAGGCGUGUGACGGCCCCGCCUACAUCCUGGGACAGCUCUGCCUGGCCUACUGCCCCCCGCGGUUCUUCAACCACACGAGGCUGGUGACCGCCGGGCCUGGGCACACGGCGGCGCCCGCGCUGAGGGUCUGCUCCAGCUGCCAUGCCUCCUGCUACACCUGCCGUGGCGGCUCCCCGAGGGACUGCACCUCCUGUCCCCCAUCCUCCACGCUGGACCAGCAGCAGGGCUCCUGCGUGGGACCCACCACCCCCGACAGCCGCCCCCGGCUUAGAGCUGCCGCCUGUCCCCACCACCGCUGCCCAGCCUCGGCCAUGGUACUGGGCCUCCUGGCCGUGACCCUCGGAGGCCCCGUCCUCUGCGGCAUGUCCAUGGACCUCCCACUAUACGCCUGGCUCUCCGGUGCCAGGGCCACCCCCACCAAACCCCAGGUCCGGCUGCCAGCUGGAACCUGAAGUUGUCAGCUCAGAAAGCGACCUUGCCCCCGCCUGGGUCCCUGACAGGCACUGCUGCUGUGCUGCCUCCCCAGGCUGGCCCCAGAGGAGCGAGCACCAGUCCCCGACGCCUGGCCUGCCAGGGAUGGGCCCCGUGGAACCCCGCAGCCUGGCGGGAGAGACAGAGAAGUCUCCUCUGCAUUUUGGGUUUGGGCGGGAGUGGGCUGGGGGGAGAGGCUGGAGCACCCCAAAAGCCAGGGGAAAGUGGAGGGAGAGAAACGUGACACUGUCCGUCUCGGGAACCGCGUCCAACCUCAGAGUUUGCAAAUAAAGGUUGCGUAGAAGGUG